CUCGGCGUCCCUGUGUGGUACUUGGAGAGAUAGUAGACCGUAUAGCGUACGCUUUAUCUGUGACGUAUGUAACACGGUCCACUAACCCUCAGUAUCAAAUCCAUCCUCGAGGCCCC
rnacentral:pre_miRNA from 8 species